rnacentral:rRNA from 1 species
GUACACGCUGUGGACUAGCAUAUCAAUAAGCGGAGGAAAAGAAACUAACAAGGAUUCCCCUAGUAACGGCGAGUGAAGCGGGAAGAGCUCAAAUUUGAAAUCUUAAAGGGUUUCCCUUUACGAAUUGUAGUUUAAAGAAGUGUUUUCUGUUGAGGUUUUGGUAAAAGUUCUUUGGAAUAGGACAUCAUAGAGGGUGAGAAUCCCGUAUUUGACCUUUACUUUCAACUUUGUGAUACACUUUCAAAGAGUCGGAUUGUUUGGGAAUGCAGUCCAAAAUGGGUGGUAAAUUUCAUCUAAAGCUAAAUAUUGGCGAGAGACCGAUAGCGAACAAGUACCGUGAGGGAAAGAUGAAAAGAACUUUGAAAAGAGAGUUAAACAGUACGUGAAAUUGUCAAAAGGGAAGCGUUUGACACCAGUGUUGUUUUUCUGAAAAUCAAUUAAAGAACUGUUUAUGCUAAGCUGUUUAGACUUUAUCAGCUAAUCUGUUUAGUUUUGAGCUUUUCUUUAAUGCACUUUUCAGUUAACAAGUCAACAUCAAUUUCUUUUGCUGUAGAAAAGCUUGAGGAAGGUGGCUUGAGAUUCGUCUUAAGUGUUUAUAGCCUCUUGCCUAUGCAGUCGGAGAGAUUGAGGUCUGCAGCGUAGAUCCUUCGGGGCUAAAUGCAUUUGUGCUAAGUUAUAGCAUUUCAUAGACAACUUGUUGACUAUGAUUUGUCUUGUAGCUUACUCGCUUAUGUUAUUUUACCUACGCUUAGGAUGUUGACGAGACUGUCGAUCUC